rnacentral:rRNA from 1 species
UACAUGGGGUGCAAACGUUGCUCGGAAUUAUUGGGCGUAAAGCGCACGUAGGCGGUUUGUUAAGUCGGAUGUGAAAUCCCUCGGCUCAACCAAGGAAGUGCAUCCGAAACUGCUGAGCUUGAGUACGAAAGAGGAUCGCGGAAUUCCCGGUGUAGAGGUGAAAUUCGUAGAUAUCGGGAGGAACACCAGUGGCGAAGGCGGCGAUCUGGGUCGAUACUGACGCUGAGGUGCGAAAGCGUGGGAGCAAACAGG